GUUUUACUGUAUCAGUAACUAACGCCGAAUGCGCUGCCCCCAACAUUGUUCGUACUCGUUUCUUCCCUUGUUUACUCCCCUUUUAGAACUCUGCGUCAAUUCAGAUUUUGUAGACAACCGUGAAUGUUAAAGAAUCACGUGUUUACCUGUGCGAUUCUUUGUUUUUUAGGUAUCAUAUUUAUGAUUUUGGUAAGUAUCAGUUAGUAUGUUUUUAUCUAAUUUCUCGAAAAAUGUAUAUAAACAGCUUGUCGGUCUCGGUCACAAACAAUCCCGCGGGCUUCUGCAGACGUUAAUACACAAAAAAACGUGUAUUAUCCCUACAUUAGAAGGCGCAUAGUCUUUGCAAAUCUCAAAUUUAGAUAUUGUCCUGAUUGCUUCUCUGAAUUGCCCUCAUAGAAUUCCGGUACAUACAAACUACCUUUUGUCGGAUUUAUAGAUACAGUAGAAACAAGAUAAGCUUACGAGGGCUCUUCAAUUAUAACGUAGACUUUUUCUCUAGCUUUUAUAUACUUCAAUGAAGCCAAACAAGAUAUAUAUCAUAUUCAUUUGCUAUCUUUCUACUAACUGCACUGCAAAUUUGACUUGAUUAUGACCAUGCAUUCAGGGGUUACGCCUCCUCGAAAACAGUCACUUACAUGGACCCGGCGCACGGCAAUAUAUUUCAACGACGUUAACGACGUCGUGCCUUCAUUGUGAUGCUUUCAUUAAGUUUGCAUUAAUUCAUUUUUGUAAAUUUAUUUCAUAAAUUUUCAUGAGCAAUAAUUAAGUCAUAAAAAGUUGUUUGAUUAGAAUACUAAAAAUGUGUGAACACUUAUGACACGCAUCUCUUACAGGGUACUCAACAUGAGUACUUGGUCUUUAUCUACGGCGUCAUAUAUUGGCGUUAACGUCCAUUCGCAGUUUUUCCUUUUUCUCUCUCCAUCUAAGCUGUCUUUAAGCUAUUCUUGACUAUUUGAGAACCGAUUGUACCACUUGAAGAGAAAGACAUAGAUGAAUGGACAUUUUUGUGGCGUCUACUUUAUUAGUUUAUGAAUUUCAGUUGUUGUGCACCAACAUUUCUCCAUAACUAAACACCUGUCUUAUUAUCUAUGCGAGUCAGUGACGACAUAACAUGCAUUAUAUACAGUAACACUCACUUAGUUUAAACGUUGUUUUCUUCCGCCUCCCACGUCAGAAUGACUCCAUACUCUAGGUGCAUGUCGACCUGGCGUGUUGCUGCACUUUGGCAUAUUUCUGGGCAAAUAAGUUUACUAUUAGUGCGAACAUAAGCGAUCGAAUUCUAAUCACGACAGAUCAAAAAGCGACUGCGCCGGUUAUGCGUAGCUAUGGUAAUAAAAACGUUCGACGAGCUGCGCCUAUCAGCAAAAAUGUUACAAAAAAUGUAUGACCAAAUUACAGAAAGAUUCCGAAUUACAACGACAUAUUUUACAUUAUUAUUUUCACAAUAUGAAACACUUGACAGCAAAAGUCUACGUUAUUUUUAACAGCCCUAGUACUCUUGGCAUUUUCUGUUAGAUUGAGAUUUGCAAUGGGAAAUGACCAUUUAAUGGAAUGUGUGAAUAUAAUUUGUCCGGUUUAUGUCUAAUUCAUUAUUACCGAGUCUUGUUAAACAUUGAUAAAUAUACGAUGAGACGCGACAGAAUUUUCCGACAUUAUCAUCACGUGGGCAGAAAACAAAAACUGUGCAUGUGCAUAUUUUGCUCCCUUCACUAAUAAUCAAUAGAGCGCACAAGGGUAGGUAUUGCAAAGUACUAUGUUGCUUGAAAUGUAAUAAAAAGAUUACAAGAAAUAGGUCAUUACACUACGUUUACGAUGCAGUGAGUAAUUUAAUGCCGUAACCGCUCGGGCAACGAGGAAUCACUGACUGCAUUGUAAACGUAGUGUAUUGACUUAAUUCCAUGUUGCUGAUUUAUGCUGUUUUUAAUUACAUUUCAAAACGAUAUGAUACUGUGAGAUACAUAUACAAUUUGUACUUGUGCGCUUGUGUAAUGUAAUGACUUCGUUUCAUGUUAUUGUUUUGUUUGUUUACAUUUCAAAACGCUAUGAUACUGUGCACUAUGAUGUUAUUUUCUCUCUCUGUCACGUGAUGUUUGUAAGAUGCCCAGUGAACGGAGUUCCUUUAUUUUAUAACCCGGGGAAACCUUAUCAGAAAUCGUGGAUAAAUGCUUUUAUUUAGAGUUUAUUAAGAAAACAACAAUGUUCAACAAAAUUCGGUGAAAAUCCAUUGUUAGAACAUCAAAUAUGCGACAUAAAGAUGAAUAUAGGAACUUUGAACUUUUAAAAUCUCACACUAGGAUGUUUGGGUUAGUUAAAAGUACAAUUACAAGAGACAAUACAAAAUUUGCUAUUUUUAAAAACGAUCCGACUGGUAGUCGUAAGAUAUUCUUCUUUUCUUUAACUCGUCUUAGUUAAUAAAAAUGUAAAAUAAAAUUGAGUUACAACAAACAAUUACUUCACAUGAGUGUAUUUAAUUGUAGUUAAAGGCAGCCAGAAAUAACCUUUACCAUUCUUCUGACAACGCGGUUAGUGACGAAGAUGUACAGAAGUACUUCAAACGUAUGAAACGGCUUCUCGAAGAGGCAUCAAACGACAACGAUGUUGAUCAGACGAUAAGAGAUGCUAUUGUCGCGGAUAUUAAAAAACUCGAAAAGUUACAGGGAGGCGAAAUGACAAUGGCCUUGUUUGAUGAUGCUUUAAAAUUGAAACGAAAGGCAAUAUAUUAUGACUUUGAAAAGAGCUUAUGUGAGAACGACCCAGACACCCUGAAAGAAUUACUUGAGCUUGCUGAACAGACUGUAGAAGACAUACAGGAAAUAAAGAAACAUGCACAUGAAGUGAAAUAUAUUGAGAGAUAUAAAUCAGUGCUGGACAACUGCAGAACAGAAACAAAAAAAAUUGACAAAUGAACUAACUGAACUGAAGAAAGGAAUACGAAUGAUUCCAGUUCUCCGUGAUGAAAUGGAAACACUUAAGGAAAAGGUAGGUGACUGGCAGCGUGCCCUUAGAUAUAACAUUUCUCAGCUCGAAGUGGAUGGAAUAUUCAUAGUGGUUGUUGUUACUGUUUUUAUGUCAUUGCUCCUCAGAGUCUGUGUUUAUUUUGCGUGACUGGAAGACGAUCAAUUGUUAAAACGCAAAUAAAAAAGGAAUGAACUUAAAACUUAUACUUAAUUAAUUGCUCCUGACCAGUGAAUUUACUGACAGCAGCGGUAUUGGAAAUGAUUCCAUUUAACUUAGACUAUUUUAUAUGUGGAAAGAAAUUGUUAGAUAAAAAAAGGAUAAUACAUGAGUUUUGUUUUCAUAUUGAAUGUAUUAAACGAGUUAAAUAAAAUGAUAAAAUGCGAGGCUCUGUCGAGCAUUCUAUCAAUUUUAUUCAACCAGUUAAAAAAAUUCAAUGUGGAAAGUCACAAAUAUGAUAUUCUUUUUAUCACAUGUUAACUUUUCCAGUCGAAACAUCAAAAAAAUCUUCUUUUUUUUACUAUAUAAACAAGUUGAUUCGACCAAUGUCUCUUUAAGAAAUAAUAUAUCUCAUCCAGUGAUUUGUCGUUGAAUAAAUCAUUGUUUGGAGUUCAGAUGCGAAGGAAUUAUAUCACGAGGGCGCAGCCCGAGUUAUAUGAUAAUACGCAUCUGAACGACAAACAAUGAUUUAUUCAAGAGCAAAUCACUAAAUGAGAUAUAUUAUUUCGAUUCUAACACGUUACCAAGGAUUUUUAAGUACAUCCUUGACGACAUUCAUUGAAUAUUUGCCCGUUUUCAAUCGGUUUCUUUUCCAGCGCGCCGCUAUGCCGUUUGACGCCAUGACGUAAUAAUUGUGAUGUCAGAACAGUGAUUUGUUGUAUAAUAAUUCACUGCUUUCUGCCUUCUUUGUUAAAUAGAAAAUGAAUCGGAUCGUGUUAGAAUAUAGCAUAAACGACGUCGACGUCAAAGAUUUAUUACUCUUAGACUAGUGUAUUAUCAUUUUUAUGUAAUGGCUUUAUUACACGACAGCGACGUUAAACAUGUGAUAAAUAGUAAUUCGUAUCUGCUUUUUUAUACUGAAUCUGAUCUUGACUUUUUAAUGAUAAUUAUCUUCACAAUAGCGGGAUGAUAACAUUUGCAUUUAGUUAUACAUUGUUUAUAUUAAUGUUGAUAUCUAUGAAUAUAUUUGCAUAUCAAUGAUACCUUGUAGAAACAAGGAAAAACAAAAAUAUGAAAUAGAAGUCAUCA